GACGAACGCUGGCGGCGUGCUUAACACAUGCAAGUCGAACGGAAAGGCCCUGCUUUUGUGGGGUGCUCGAGUGGCGAACGGGUGAGUAACACGUGAGUAACCUGCCCUUGACUUUGGGAUAACUUCAGGAAACUGGGGCUAAUACCGGAUAGGAGCUCCUGCUGCAUGGUGGGGGUUGGAAAGUUUCGGCGGUUGGGGAUGGACUCGCGGCUUGUCAGCUUGUUGGUGGGGUAGUGGCUUACCAAGGCUUUGACGGGUAGCCGGCCUGAGAGGGUGACCGGCCACAUUGGGACUGAGAUACGGCCCAGACUCCUACGGGAGGCAGCAGUGGGGAAUAUUGCACAAUGGGCGGAAGCCUGAUGCAGCAACGCCGCGUGCGGGAUGACGGCCUUCGGGUUGUAAACCGCUUUCGCCUGUGACGAAGCGUGAGUGACGGUAAUGGGUAAAGAAGCACCGGCUAACUUCGUG
rnacentral:rRNA from 1 species